UACGUAGGGUGCGAGCGUUAAUCGGAAUUACUGGGCGUAAAGCGUGCGCAGGCGGUUUUUUAAGACAGGCGUGAAAUCCCCGGGCUUAACCUGGGAACUGCGUUUGUGACUGGAAGGCUAGAGUAUGGCAGAGGGGGUGGAAUUCCACGUGUAGCAGUGAAAUGCGUAGAGAUGUGGAGGAACACCGAUGGCGAAGGCAGCCCCCUGGGCCAAUACUGACGCCUCAUGCACGAAAGCGUGGGGAGCAAACAGG
rnacentral:rRNA from 1 species